rnacentral:rRNA from 1 species
GACGAACGCUGGCGGCGUGCCUAAUACAUGCAAGUCGAACGCAGUGGGGACGGGUGAGUAACACGUGGGUAACCUCCCAUCAGAGGGGAUAACACUUGGAAACAGGUGCUAAACCGAUACUGAUGGAUGGACCCGCGGUGCAUUAGCUAGCUGGUGAGGUAACGGCUCACAAAGGCCACGAGGCAUAGCCGACCUGAGAGUGUGAUCGGCCACACGUGGACGUAGACACGGCCCAGACUCCUACGGGAGGCAGCAGGAGGGAAUCUUCGGCAAGGGACGAAAGUCUGACCGAGCAACGCCGCGUGAGUGAAGAAGGUUUUCGGAUCAUAAAACGCUUCUGUUAGAGAAGCGGUAUCUAACCAGAAAGCCACGGCUAACUACGUGCCAGCCGCCGCGGUAAUC